AGGCAGCAGCAAGGAAUAUUGUGCAAUGGGCGAAAGCCUGACACAGCGACACCGCGUGGGGGAAGACGGCCUUCGGGUUGUAAACCCCUUUUCCCAGGGAAGAAUAAUGACGGUACCUGGGGAAUAAGCCCCGGCUAACUACGUGCCAGCAGCCGCGGUAAUACGUAGGGGGCGAGCGUUAUCCGGAUUUACUGGGCAUAAAGAGGACGUAGGCGGCUCUUCAAGUCGGAUGUAAAAUCUCCCGGCUCAACUGGGAGGGACCAUCCGAUACUGCUGGGCUAGAGGGCAGCAGAGGAAAGCGGAAUUCCCGGUGUAGUGGUGAAAUGCGUAGAUAUCGGGAGGAACACCAGUGGCGAAGGCGGCUUUCUGGGCUGUUUCUGACGCUGAGGUCCGAAAGCGUGGGUAGCAAACAGGAUUAGAUACCCUAGUAGUC
rnacentral:rRNA from 1 species